rnacentral:rRNA from 1 species
UGGGGAAUUUUGGACAAUGGGGGAAACCCUGAUCCAGCAAUGCCGCGUGAGUGAAGAAGGCCUUCGGGUUGUAAAGCUCUUUUGUCAGGGAAGAAACGGUAGUUUCUAAUACAGAUUACUAAUGACGGUACCUGAAGAAUAAGCACCGGCUAACUACGUGCCAGCAGCCGCGGUAAUACGUAGGGUGCAAGCGUUAAUCGGAAUUACUGGGCGUAAAGCGUGCGCAGGCGGUUAUGUAAGUCAGAUGUGAAAUCCCCGGGCUCAACCUGGGAAUGGCAUUUGAGACUGCAUGGCUAGAGUGUGUCAGAGGGGGGUAGAAUUCCACGUGUAGCAGUGAAAUGCGUAGAUAUGUGGAGGAAUACCGAUGGCGAAGGCAGCCCCCUGGGAUAACACUGACGCUCAUGCACGAAAGCGUGGGGAGCAAACAG